rnacentral:rRNA from 1 species
GACGAACGCUGGCGGCGUGCUUAACACAUGCAAGUCGGACGGUGAAGGGACCGGUUUUUGCUGGUUCUGGAUGAGUGGCGAACGGGUGAGUAACACGUGAGUAACCUGCCCCCUUCUUCUGGAUAACCGCAUGAAAGUGUGGCUAAUACGGGAUAUUCUGCGCCUGCUGCAUGGUGGGUGUGGGAAAGAUAUUGUUUCGGUGGGGGAUGGGCUCGCGGCCUAUCAGCUUGUUGGUGGGGUGAUGGCCUACCAAGGCGGUGACGGGUAGCCGGCCUGAGAGGGUGGACGGUCACACUGGGACUGAGACACGGCCCAGACUCCUACGGGAGGCAGCAGUGGGGAAUAUUGCACAAUGGGCGCAAGCCUGAUGCAGCGACGCCGCGUGAGGGAUGGAGGCCUUCGGGUUGUAAACCUCUUUCGCCAGUGAAGCAGGCCUGUCCCUUUUGUGGGUGGGUUGACGGUAGCUGGAUAAGAAGCGCCGGCUAACUACGUG